UUCCGUCUUUUAACCUGUAAUUUUGGUCACCAAACCACAAUAAAUUGAAUCUUUAAGAUGGGUUAACAUUGAAGACAAAGGGCAGACAAAACAAGGAUAACAUGUAACAAGCCAUACACUGUACAAGAAAAAAAGUUAAGAGGUUAGAUGAAUGAAACAACAUAAAAAUACAAAACUACAAGAUGUACUACAAGGCUAUGGAGUCAAAUUAUUUGAAGCUACCAAUUAUGAUGGGAAAAGAUGAUGAUAAAGACGAUAAAAAAGGUACAAUUAAGGGACAAAAAUUAUACAGAUUAUCACACAAUUGCGUUUAGCUUGUGUUAUUAGGAAAAACAUAAUAGAUGGCACCUUCAUCAUUUCUGCCAUUUUGUCCUAGGCAUUAUUUUUCAUUAAUGGUUGUAUUAACGUAUAAAAACUGUUGUUUUUAUUUUGUUUUUUGUUUGUUACUGAUCAUAAUUAUCAUUAUCAUCACCAUAACUGAUAUUUCUUGUCAUCAUCAUUACCAUCAUGAUACUGUAUCAAUGGUAAUUAUAUCUAUGUUUAAUGAUGCUGAUGAUGGCGGUGAUGAUGUUACCAACAACGAAGAGUACCAACAACUGGAAAUAACACUGAUGAUGAAGAUGAUGACAACGAAUGGACCU